AUGUUUCAUAAAUACAUUACUAUCACAUAAGCAGUUACCAUUGGCGGUUAACUGCCUGCGAUCUUUAGGUUCUUUAAGUGCUCUGUAUAGAGAUGUUAGGAUCUCAAGCGAUAAAAUAGAAAGUAGUUCUAUUGGAAUCAAUUUCCAAAAUCCAGUCUUUGCUUGACUCUCAACUUUAUAGAUACAACAGCAAGAGCAACUACUUAACAAAAUUUAGCAACAUAUGUUUUCUCUGAACAAACAGUUAAAGAACCUCAGCUAGUAUCUGACUAUCUGUUAGUAAUAGCGCAGAAACCUAUAACUUGU